GAGGAAGUAAAAGUCGUAACAAGGUUUCCGUAGGUGAACCUGCGGAAGGAUCAUUAUCGAAAUUAUAGGUGAGGGUUGUAGCUGGCCUCUCGGGGCAUGUGCACGCCCGAGCCCUUAAUCCACACACACCUGUGAACCUAUUGUAAGGGCCCUUAAAAAAGGCCUUUACGUCUUAUCAUCAACCCAUCGUAUGUCUCAUAGAAUGUAAAUAUAUGUCCUCGCCUUAAAAAGCGUUGAUAAACUUAUACAACUUUCAACAACGGAUCUCUUGGCUCUCGCAUCGAUGAAGAACGCAGCGAAAUGCGAUAAGUAAUGUGAAUUGCAGAUUUUCAGUGAAUCAUCGAAUCUUUGAACGCACCUUGCGCUCCUUGGUAUUCCGAGGAGCAUGCCUGUUUGAGUGUCAUUAAAUUCUCAACUCYGAUCGAUUUGUUUCGACUUCGGAGCUUGGAUUUGGAGCGUGCUGGCGUCGGUCGGCUCCUCUUAAAUGCAUCAGCGGAAUCUAACGUUUCGGACGUCAGUGUGAUAAUCAUGUUGCGCUGUCUGUCUGAUCCGAAAGCCCGCUCACAAUGGUCUUCGGACAACUUCAUAUCAAAUUUGACCUCAAAUCAGGUAGGACUACCCGCUGAACUUAAGCAUAUC
rnacentral:rRNA from 1 species